rnacentral:rRNA from 1 species
AUUGAACGCUGGCGGCAUGCCUUACACAUGCAAGUCGAACGGUAACGGGCCUUCGGGUGCCGACGAGUGGCGAACGGGUGAGUAAUGUAUCGGAACGUACCUUUCAGUGGGGGAUAACGUAGCGAAAGUUACGCUAAUACCGCAUAUUCUGUGCGCAGGAAAGCAGGGGAUCGCAAGACCUUGCGCUGAUUGAGCGGCCGAUAUCAGAUUAGCUAGUUGGUGAGGUAAAGGCUCACCAAGGCGACGAUCUGUAGCGGGUCUGAGAGGAUGAUCCGCCACACUGGAACUGAGACACGGUCCAGACUCCUACGGGAGGCAGCAGUGGGGAAUUUUGGACAAUGGGGGCAACCCUGAUCCAGCCAUGCCGCGUGAGUGAAGAAGGCCUCGG